UACAGAGGGUGCGAGCGUUGUUCGGAAUUAUUGGGCGUAAAGCGCAUGUAGGCGGUAUGUUAAGUCGCGUGUGAAAGCCCCAGGCUCAACCUGGGAAGUGCGCGCGAAACUGGCAACCUUGAGUGCUGGAGAGGGUGGCGGAAUUCCCGGUGUAGAGGUGAAAUUCGUAGAUAUCGGGAGGAACACCAGAGGCGAAGGCGGCCACCUGGACAGACACUGACGCUGAGACGCGAAAGCGUGGGGAGCAAACAGG
rnacentral:rRNA from 1 species